GCGUUGGUAGUGCACUGGAUAAGCACGGCAGACCAGAUAUGUGUAAGUGCGGGUUCAAGUCCCGCCUGAGGUU
rnacentral:tRNA from 1 species